GUGUGUAUCCAAGGAGAAAAGCAGAAGAAACUCAUCAAGGAGCUGGAAGCUGAGAAAUAGAAGCAUCUGACAGUCAUAGAUGGUCUAAAUGGUGAGAUGUCAUUGCUGACAUCUAAGCUAGAUCAAAUGACAAAGUCCAUCAGAAUGCUGAAUAAAGGAACAGACACGUUGGAAGAGAUUCUAAAGGUGGAACAGAAGUCAGGAACCAUGGCUGGUUUA
rnacentral:lncRNA from 1 species